rnacentral:rRNA from 1 species
UGAGGAAUAUUGGUCAAUGGACGAGAGUCUGAACCAGCCAAGUAGCGUGAAGGAUGACUGCCCUAUGGGUUGUAAACUUCUUUUAUACGGGAAUAAAGUUAGCCACGUGUGGCUUUUUGUAUGUACCGUAUGAAUAAGGAUCGGCUAACUCCGUGCCAGCAGCCGCGGUAAUACGGAGGAUCCGAGCGUUAUCCGGAUUUAUUGGGUUUAAAGGGAGCGUAGGCGGGUUGUUAAGUCAGUUGUGAAAGUUUGCGGCUCAACCGUAAAAUUGCAGUUGAUACUGGUGACCUUGAGUGCAACAGAGGUAGGCGGAAUUCGUGGUGUAGCGGUGAAAUGCUUAGAUAUCACGAAGAACUCCGAUUGCGAAGGCAGCUUACUGGAUUGUAACUGACGCUGAUGCUCGAAAGCGUGGGUA